UGAUUAUUAAACAGUGGCUCUAGGGUGACUAACUGAGCUUUGAUAGUUUUCAUAUGCCAAUGAAUUCUUUUUUUCCAUCUUCCUCUCAAAGCAGAGGAAGUAAACCUCCCAUUCCCACCCCAAGCGCUGGAGUGGUAGGUGUUUUCUAGAGUGUGCUGUAGUGACAGGCUUUGACUUGUCACAGUAGCUCAUAAAAUAUAACAUAGCAUUUGCUUGUCUAUGUAUUUUAGACCAUGUAUUCUUCGGAGGGAAACUGGCAUGCCUAUAAAGACAGUUGGGCAGUGCAAUGGAGAAGAUUAAAUGUUAAGAAACUGAAGACUUCAUCUGACAGUGUGAGUAGCUGUGCUCAGCAGAGUAUCUCACUACAAAGCUAUUAAGUGGCAAGCACAGAGCCUUAUAUCAGGAGUCCCAUGUUUCCUUGAUGUUUAUAAGAAUAGUAGAGAAAAAGUAUGUGAUCAACCAGGUUCCUUACUGUUUUGGAAAAAAAUGUUAAAUUACAUCUCAACUUAUACAACUUAUUAACCCUUCAUCAAGAGACAGUCUCAACCUAUUAUAGUGUCUACCUGGAA